CAAAAUUAUUUUAAAAAUCGUUAGUUCUUAAAUUGCUAAAAAUUUUUUAGAGGAUGUUAAAAAAAAUACCAAAAAAGUAAAAGUGAUUGUGACUCCAGAAAUAUUUUUUAGAUUUUUUCCAAUAAAUUAGGCGAAAGAUGUUUCCUUUGGUGGAAAUAAGUUGGUGACACGUGUGAUGUUUCUUCUGCUACUGUGAAAAGGGUACUCAAAAAACAUAAAUUUUAUCCAUAUAAAAUUGAAAUGGUUCAUCAAUUGAAAGAAAAUGAUGCUGAUCGACGUAUGGAAUUCUGCGAAGUAAUGACCGAGAGAAUAGGACGCCAGCCUGCUGCUUAUGUGAAGAACAUUUGUUUUAGUGAUGAAUGUGCGAGCGACGUAAAUCCCUACAUAUUUCGUGAAAUAUACCCAGAAAAAAUAAAUGUGUGGGCUGGCAUAUUAAGGAAUCACAUUGUUGGGCCUCUCUUUUUAGACCAAAAUUUAACAGGGGACCUUUACUUAAACGUGUUGAAAAAUGCAGUAGAACCACUAAUCCUUGAAAUUAUUGAAGAUAAUCCUCAUGAAUUUGGUUGGAAACAGUUUUUCAACAAGAUGGGGCACCGCCUUUUUUAACAUCUUUUGUAGUGAAAUAUUAACAUUUCUGUCUUAUCUAAAAAUUAGUUAUUUUAAAUCGUAAUAAAAAUGCGAAAAAUAAAAUUUUGAAAGCA